CCCGUGAACAAAAACUAACCAAGGGGAGGAGGGUAGGCGCACUCGUGCGCUGCCACCCUUUGCCCCUUAGCCGUGCAGUGCCUCUCGUCACCCCGAAUCCAUUCGGGACACGACGUGAGGUGCUAUUACGGUGAUUAAAACGAACCCCGGCGCGGUAUGCGCCAAGGAAAUCAAAACGAACUUAGCACACCAUAAGCUGACUUGUGCGGCUACGGUGAUGCAAACUUCGAUACCUAAACGACUCUCGGCAACGGAUAUCUCGGCUCUCGCAUCGAUGAAGAACGUAGCGAAAUGCGAUACUUGGUGUGAAUUGCAGAAUCCCGUGAACCAUCGAGUCUUUGAACGCAAGUUGCGCCCGAAGCCAUUCGGCCAAGGGCACGCCUGCCUGGGCGUCACGUAUCGCGUUGCUCCCACAUCACUUUCCUCAAUGCUUGUGAUGUUGGAAGCGGACAAUGGCCUCCCGUGCUCUUGUGCGGCUGGCCUAAAUCCAAGCCUCGGGGUGACGAAGGGUCACGACAAGCGGUGGUUGAUAAUCUCUCGGCCUUUGUCGGUCUGUCUGUCCCCUAUUGUGCUAAGAAUCCCCAACGUGUCAUUUCAAAUGGCUCUUGCAUCGCGACC
rnacentral:rRNA from 1 species